rnacentral:rRNA from 1 species
AAGCGUGGGGAGCGAACAGGAUUAGAUACCCUGGUAGUCCACGCCGUAAACGGUGGGCACUAGUUGUGGGAACCUUCCACGGUUUCUGCGACGCAGCUAACGCAUUAAGUGCCCCGCCUGGGGAGUACGAUCGCAAGAUUAAAACUCAAAGGAAUUGACGGGGCCCCGCACAAGCAGCGGAGCAUGCGGCUUAAUUCGACGCAACGCGAAGAACCUUACCAAGGCUUGACAUAUACAGGAAUAUGGCAGAAAUGUCAUAGCCGCAAGGUCUGUAUACAGGUGGUGCAUGGUUGUCGUCAGCUCGUGUCGUGAGAUGUUGGGUUAAGUCCCGCAACGAGCGCAACCCUCGUUCUGUGUUGCCAGCAUUUAGUUGGGGACUCACAGGAGACUGCCGGGGUUAACUCGGAGGAAGGUGGGGAUGACGUCAAAUCAUCAUGCCCCUUAUGUCUUGGGCUGCACGCAUGCUACAAUGGCUGGUACAAACGGCUGCGAUACCGCAAGGUGGAGCGAAUCCGAUAAAGCCAGUCUCAGUUCGGAUUGGGGUCUGCAACUCGACCCCAUGAAGUCGGAGUUGCUAGUAAUCGUAGAUCAGCAACGCUACGGUGAAUACGUUCCCGGGGCUUGUACACACCGCCCGUCACGUCACGAAAGUCGGUAACACCC